rnacentral:tRNA from 2 species
GGAGGUUUAGCUCAGCUGGGAGAGCAUCUGCCUUACAAGCAGAGGGUCAUAGGUUCGAGCCCUAUAGCCUCCA